rfam:Photobacterium aphoticum strain DSM 25995 contig0025, whole genome shotgun sequence.
ACAUCACCAUCAUCAUCCUGAUUAGUCUUUCGGGAGGAUACGCCUCGCUCUGGAAGACGCACUCACUCUUCCAGCGGUCAGAUAAGCACUCAAGCAUUCAAGACCCUCGGGAGAGACAUUUUCCGAGGGUCUUUUCG